rnacentral:rRNA from 1 species
GACGUAGGGGGCCAGCGUUGUUCGGAAUUACUGGGUGUAAAGGGUUCGUAGGCGGUGUGGCAAGUCGGGAGUGAAAUCUCUGGGCUCAACCCAGAGUCUGCUUCCGAAAUUGCUGUGCUUGAGUGUGGGAGAGGCGCGUGGAAUUGCAGGUGUAGCGGUGAAAUGCGUAGAUAUCUGCAGGAACACCCGUGGCGAAAGCGGCGCGCUGGACCACUACUGACGCUGAGGAACGAAAGCUAGGGGAGCAAACAGG